rnacentral:rRNA from 1 species
UACGAAGGGUGCAAACGUUGCUCGGAAUCAUUGGGCGUAAAGCGCACGUAGGCGGCUUCACAAGUCGGAUGUGAAAUCCCGUGGCUCAACCAUGGACGUGCAUUCGAAACUGCGAAGCUUGAGUAUGGAAGAGGGUCGCGGAAUUCCCGGUGUAGAGGUGAAAUUCGUAGAUAUCGGGAGGAACACCAGUGGCGAAGGCGGCGACCUGGGCCAAUACUGACGCUGAGGUGCGAAAGCGUGGGGAGCAAACAGG